rnacentral:rRNA from 1 species
UACGGGGGGGGGCAAGCGUUGUUCGGAAUUACUGGGCGUAAAGGGCUCGUAGGCGGCCAACUAAGUCAGACGUGAAAUCCCCAGGCUCAACCUGGGAACUGCGUCUGAUACUGGAUGGCUUGAAUCCGGGAGAGGGAUGCGGAAUUCCAGGUGUAGCGGUGAAAUGCGUAGAUAUCUGGAGGAACACCGGUGGCGAAGGCGGCAUCCUGGACCGGCAUUGACGCUGAGGCGCGAAAGCCAGGGGAGCAAAGCGGG